UCUUUGUUUACACGGUAAUGGUACAUAUCGAAAAGGUGUAAUGCUCUCGCCACACCACUAGUUGGUGCUAGGUUCUUUGAAACUAAUGCAUGUUUUUAAAAGAUAAAGUUAU